CUUGUACACACCGCCCGUCACACCAUAGGAGCGGGUUCUGCCAGAAGUAGUUAGCCUAACCGCAAGGAGGGCGAAUUACCACGGCAGGGUUCGUGACUGGGGUG
rnacentral:rRNA from 1 species